UCGAGCCACACGGCGGGGAGAAGGCGGGACGUGCUUGGGCAACUCCACGAGGCGGGUACACGAGCCAGACUAGACUAAGCUGCAGGACUCGCUCAAACCCGCCCGAGGGAAAGUCCAACCUGAGGAAAUAAACGCCGCCGAAGGGACAGUUUUUUGAAGUUGAUAGUACUAUCAUCAGCAGUGCGUAGCAGAGGAGAUUGAGUCCCAGAGAAGUUAAACAAGUCCUUGAGUGACAUAAACCAUGACUCGAGUCUAUGCUGUCUGCACAGAGAGCAAGAGAGUACACAAAGAAUGAUGGGUGUUUGUCAAAAGGACACAGGAGCUGCAUAGAAAGUAUCCAACAAGACAAACAU